CUCCAGCUCCCGCCAUGGGCCUGGUGACCACAGACUUGGGCUUCUUCUGAUCUUUUCUUCCUGAGGGAGAGGGUACAUUGCAAGGACGAAAAGUUGAAACUGCCCUUUUUAUUGUUUUGUUUUGGUUUUUGUUUGUUUUCUUGAGACAGGGUCUCGUUAUGUAGCCCAGGAUGGCCUCAAACUCUUGGCAAUCUUCCUGCCUCAGCCUCCCAAGUGCUGGGACCACAGGCAGGCACCAGCACGCUCAGGCUGCAGGUGCCCGUUUAGACACCUGCUUGGGCUUCCCCAGACUCCCGCUGUGUGCUGUCUACACCCGACCUGCAGCCUUCUCUACCUGAGAUGCACAAAGAAACCCAGACAGGACCAGUUGGCCCUGUGUGCUGUGUGCCGCCUCCUGACCGGCCUGUGGGCACAGCCAGUGCAGCUCCCGGUCUAGCUGUCUGGCGUGUGCCAGCUGCUGGCGUCUCUUGCAGGUCAGAGCACCCACAAGAGGAUGCAGUGGUGGCUCCAGGCCUGCAUGUUCACCCUGGCCCUGCUGCUGCACCUGGGCCCUGGGCUGGGCGCUCUGGGCCACCUUCCCCAAGACGUGGGGUCGGGUCCCAGGGCCGUGCAGAGGCUUCUGGGAAAUCUGCUGCAGGGCCUGGAAUCCAUUCUCCUGCAUCUGCCUGUGAUCACAGUUCCCCGGAUGCCCUGGCCGGGCUCCUCCACGCCUCGGCCAUUGUGGCCCAAGACCAGUGGCCCCAGUACCUGCUGUAGGCCAUGCUGGUUCCUGACAUCCAUGAGCUGCGCAAUGCUGGACCUCACUGUACCACCACCCUGCCCGAUGGCUUGCACUCUCUGUCCCUUGUGCUUGGCAGAGCUCUCUGCCAGCAGAAGCCAUGGGUGGAGGCCCAGGGCAGCCAGCCACAUGUGCAGUUAUCUGCAGUUUGGUGCUUUCCCUUUUCUUGUUUGUUUCUUCCUCACUAUGUAGCCCAGGCUGGCUGAGGACUCCCAGAGAUCCUCUUGCCUCAGCCUCCUGAAUCCUGGGAUAUAGGUGUGCCCCACCACACAUCUUUGCCCAGGGACAGGAACACACUGCGACAUCAGAGCUGAACAGCCCUAUCCUCAGGUGCCCUGGGCAGGAGAGUGGGGAGGGCUGGAGGCCUGCUUCCUACCAUAGCCUGGGCCUUGAGCGUCCCCCUCCUGUGUGGUGAGGACCAUGCCAGGAAGAGCCCACAAGUUUGCCCUGAGGCCAGAGGGACCUGGACAGCCGCGUGCUGCUGCCCUGCGCCGGGACAGAGGAUGGGAGCUGGGAGGUAGGACCGGGGACCAGGAAGCUGAAGGCCUCCACCCCUUUGACCAACAUUUAGCAAAGUAGAUGGAGUCGCCCGAUAGCCACUUAGGCCAUCAGGUAGUUUACUAGCAGACAUAAAAUGCCACACUGCAUAAAUCCAUG
rnacentral:lncRNA from 1 species